rnacentral:rRNA from 1 species
GGUAUAGGUUUUCGGACCUAGAGACCGGCGCACGGGUGCGUAACGCGUAUGCAAUCUACCUUUUACAGAGGGAUAGCCCAGAGAAAUUUGGAUUAAUACCUCAUAGUAUUACGACUCGGCAUCGAGAUGUAAUUAAAGUCACAACGGUAAAAGAUGAGCAUGCGUCCCAUUAGCUUGUUGGUAAGGUAACGGCUUACCAAGGCAACGAUGGGUAGGGGUCCUGAGAGGGAGAUCCCCCACACUGGUACUGAGACACGGACCAGACUCCUACGGGAGGCAGCAGUGAGGAAUAUUGGUCAAUGGGCGCAAGCCUGAACCAGCCAUGCCGCGUGCAGGAUGAAGCAUCUAUGGUGUGUAAACUGCUUUUGUACGAGAAGAAACACUCCUUCGUGAAGGAGCUUGACGGUAUCGUAAGAAUAAGGACCGGCUAACUCCGUGCCAGCAGCCGCGGUAAUACGGAGGGUCCAAGCGUUAUCCGGAAUCAUUGGGUUUAAAGGGUCCGUAGGCGGUUUUGUAAGUCAGUGGUGAAAGCCCAUCGCUCAACGGUGGAACGGCCAUUGAUACUGCAAGACUUGAAUUAUUGGGAAGUAACUAG